GAUGAACGCUGGCGGCGUGCCUAAUACAUGCAAGUCGAGCGAACGGACGAGAAGCUUGCUUCUCUGCUGUUAGCGGCGGACGGGUGAGUAACACGUGGAUAACCUACCUAUAAGACUGGGAUAACUUCGGGAAACCGUAGCUAAUACCGGAUAAUAUUUUGAACCGCAUGGUUCAAAAGUGAAAGACGGUCUUGCUGUCACUUAUAGAUGGAUCCGCGCUGCAUUAGCUAGUUGGUAAGGUAACGGCUUACCAAGGCAACGAUGCAUAGCCGACCUGAGAGGGUGAUCAGCCACACUGGAACUGAGACACGGUCCAUACUCCUACGGGAGGCAGCAGUUGGGAAGCUUCCGCAAUGGGCGGAAGCCUGACGGAGCAACGCCGCGUGAGUGAUGAAGGUCUUCGGAUCGUAAAACGCUGUUAUUAGGGAAGAACAUAUGUGUAAGUAACUGUGCACAUCUUGACGGUACCUAAUCAGAAAGCCACGGCUAACUACGUG
rnacentral:rRNA from 1 species